rnacentral:tRNA from 1 species
UCCCCAGUAGCUCAUUGGUAGAGCAGUCAGCUGUUAACUGAUUAAUUGUAAGUUUGAAGCUUACUUGGGGAG